UACGGGGGGAGCAAGCGUUGUUCGGAUUUACUGGGCGUAAAGGGCGCGUAGGCGGCCUCCGCAAGUCAGUUGUGAAAUCUCCGAGCUUAACUCGGAAAGGUCAACUGAUACUGCGGGGCUAGAGUGCGGAAGGGGCAACUGGAAUUCUUGGUGUAGCGGUGAAAUGCGUAGAUAUUAAGAGGAACACCUGCGGCGAAGGCGGGUUGCUGGGCCGACACUGACGCUGAGGCGCGAAAGCGUGGGGAGCAAACAGG
rnacentral:rRNA from 1 species